ensembl:lncRNA novel transcript
GGAAGCGGCAGAAAAGGCCGGCGUGUGGGGCGGGCCUGGGGAAGGGACUCCCGCGGCCCUAAGGUGCUGGCGGGCGUUUGGCGUUGCAGCUGUGUGGGCGCUGGUGCGUGCGAGUAGCGCUCGAAGAAACCCAAAGGCGUCGUGGGGCUGCCGUGUGCCCCAGAGAGCACUGCAGGCCGGGUAGGGGCUAAGGCUCCCCGCAGUCUUCUGUGUGUCGUCCAGUACGCAGUUGAAAUCGUUCUCCAACCUGGCCAGUCCUCCGAGGCCCUUCUCAGGCGACCAGACUCUGUUAACAGAGUCCAUUGCUAAAACUCCUCGUUAGUAUUUACCACUCCUCCAGUCUGUGUUUUGAAGCAGUGGUUUUCAACCACUGCCCGUUUUCAGAAGAAAUCAUCUCAAGCGUCCGUGUGCUGCUAGAAGCCGGGCCGGGAGGUCUUGGUGCCGGACUCCACCCUGCAGCCCUUCCCUUUCGCCACCGCCCUGUGCUUAGAGAAACCUUAGAGUGGAGCAAUGAGUCGCCCUUGACUGAGUAACUCUUCGGGGUCAACUUCUCCUUCCACGCCAAGGAAAGGAUUCCAGGGCGAUGUUUCUGGAAAUAGAGAUCUGACCAAGCCACUGCUCUGGUCCCGUGUUUCUGAGAGUCUCUUUCAGAGCAAUGCAAACCUGAAACUACUCCUGCCAAGAAACGAUUGCAGCUCUUCCCGGAAAAGUUAAAGCCUUUGAGAAACAAAGCUGAGGUUGAAAGUAUUAGUCCAUUUUAUAGAUGAAGAAAUGGAGGCCCAGAGAGAUCACGUGACUUAGCCAAGUCCACCAACUAAUAUUGGGAAGCUCAGCAGGGUCCUGGGGGCCCACAGGAAUGUGAAUAAACACGCUUGGAAAGUCUGCAGAAUUUCCAGUCCUAGCCUCCUGCUGGUGUGAACCUGGGCUCCUGUGCCUGGGACCCUGGGAGAUUUGGGAUUAAGCCUUAUUUUGCAUUGGGUUUAAUCUCAACAGACACCGAGGGGCACCUGGAGUCCCUGCAAAACCUUGUCUGGUAUCAGCUACCUAUCAGAGGAUGCAGAGGACAAGGGCCUAGGGGAUGCCAAAUUCCAGGGUCCAGAAAGAGCUUGGGAUAAAAUGAACAUCCAAGGGGAGGGCUUUGACCUGGGCUGAGUCUGCCUGUGCCGAGUCUGCCUGUGCCAUCCAACUGGAGUCUCAAGUCCUGAGGCAGGACGUCCAGAUGCCCCAGUGCAGGGUCCUCCUGAUCAACACCUGCUCCCCUGUACUCAUUAGCAACCUCACCCACCCUACUCUCAAAGCACACUUGGCUCUCAUAUCCAGGAGCUCUGCAUCUGUAGAUUCAGCAACAGCAGAUGGAAAAUAUUCAGAAAAUAAAUUGGACAGUUAUAUUUCUAUUGAA